CAGCCCCGGUCGCAGCCCCACCUGCCCGCCGCCGCCGCCCCGCUCUCCGCCUCCGAUCAAAAUGGCGGCCGCCGCCACCGCCAGCCUCUACGGGGCGCUCUGGCCCACCCCCGCGCUGCUCUCUAUGGUACCGGGCGGCCAUUUUGUUUGAGGGCGGUGUGACUUCCGGGGGGGGCGGCCAUCUUUGCUGUGGGUGGGCGGCCUGGCGGGAGCGGCUCUGCCUUGUGCAAUGUGUGUGCAGUGCCGGCGUCCGCGAGGGCAGAGCAGAGCCUGACCCUUCACCCCGGAGAACGGGGACAAGCUUUAUUGCCUUUUUCCUUGAGGAAAGAGUUCCCCGUGCCACCACGCAUCCAGCAGAGCUGUUUGAGCCCCUCCCGACAACACUGAAACCCAAGGGAGAGGAAGGGGAUGGCCAGCAGCCCCCUUCAUGUGAGGCUAAGGGGACAGUGAGACGUAGAUGAGCGUGGCCACGAUCAAUCCGAGGCUGAAGAAGACCUUGAAGAUGUGUGGCACAGAGCUGCAGCGUGGCGCUGGGUGCCUGGCCGAGCCCCGCAGGGGUUGGUCAACGCGCUGCUGCUGGGUCAAGAUGGCCGCCCGGGCGCCCCGCCAUGCACCUGGGCCAUGCAGGCGGUACUGGUAGGGCGUGCAGGGCCCCAGCAGCACCUCCAGCGCCAGCUUGGGGUCAGUGAGGAGGAGCAGUGGCAGGUUGGGCUUGACACCCAGCUGGCAGGCGAGCUCGUCCAUGUAGGGGAUGUAAUCCACCUGGAUGGUGUGCCGCCGGCUGGUCACGUACCUGUGGGCAGGGACAGCAGGCUGCUCAGUGUGUGUGCAUCGAGGAGGCGGUGGCAGGGUUGGUGCCCCACGGGGUCCUUACCGCUUGGCUAUUUUCUCCUUGGUUUGUGCGAUGUCAGCCAGCAUGGUGCUGGUUGGUGGCAGCUUUUGCAGACCUACAGAAGAGGGAGAAGGAGAGAGAGCUGUGCUCUCAGCAGACGUGCCCCUCUGCACCAGCGUGGCCUCUGUGGCACAGGAAAGCCUUUGGGCCACCAAAGAGGGGCAAGAGAGAGGCCCAGGCAAAGAAAUAAAAGAGAGAAAAUGGGUUGCAGUGGAGGAGGCCCAUUACCAGCUCCAUAUGAUGAAAACAAGUGCAACAUAUGUUGCGAAAUGCAAUGCUCCUUUAUAUCCCUUCAUAGAAGGAUGAUAAAAGGAGGAGCGCAUGCCAGCAGCUGAAUAAGUUGGCUUUGCUGUACCCAGAGAAGUGCAUUCCCGGCCCGCCUCACUUACCCUUGAAGACACGGGUGGCCCAGCGACUCUGCAUCUCCGAGAUGGGCAUGAUGGCUCCCAGAGGCUGGAUGUAGCCAAUGAAAGCCAGCGUCGGCUUCUCCAGGUCAGCUGGGAACAUAAACUUGUAGAGGGGGACCUGAUUCUCCACCACCUUCACAGAAUCCUCAAGGAAGGGGAAGGAGAAGCUGUACCCUGUGGCAAAGACCACACCGUCGAUGUCUUCCUUAGUGCCAUCCUCAAAGAUGGCAGAUGUCUCCGUGAACUGCUUGAUGUUCGGCUUCACCCGCACCCUGCCCGAAAUGACACGGUUGGGCAGGUCGUCGUUGAUGGUCAAAUGCUGGUUGAGGACCCUGGUGAGAACAAACAGAGCUCAUGCAGAGCCGAGUGCAGGCAGGUCCCCAUAAUGCUGCCACAAACACUCACCGGUGUUUUGGCUUCAGACCAUAGAGAGCGUGGUCAAAGCGCAUAUUGAGCUUCCUCUCCAGUAUGAAGUUGCUCACAGAGAGGGGCAGCAGGCUUUGGAGGAGCUGGGUGAAGCGGCUGAGGUAGGAGAAGUCAAAGGGGUACCCACCUUCUGCUACCCGGUGCAUCACCCAUGUCCCACGCUUGGUGCUGAGGAAGACCUGUAGAAAUGAGAAGGGACAUUUAAUACGAAGUGCAGUGCUGGCCCGAACUCAGAACUGCGUGGUCCAGGAAUAAAAACAGGCUGGGAGCAAGGAGCAGGGGCAUGCUGAGCCUGGUUGUCUUGGGACAUCACCUGCUUGGCUGUGUGGCUCAGCUCCACCGCGAUGUCGAUGCCCGAGUUCCCGGUGCCGACCACGAUGACCCGCUUCUCUGCAAAGGCCUGCGGGCUCUUGUAGUCCCGGCUGUGCAGGUACCAGCCUUCAAACUUGUCCAGUCCUGCAAGAGAGAGCAGGGCCGUGCCGGGUGGGGGUGGCUGUCCUUUUCUUGGGCUAGGUAUGUGCGCCGGGGCAGGGUGAGCCCAGUGGGAACAGCCCAGGGAUGGUGCCCAGGGAGGUGGUGGCAUCUCCAAUCUGGGAGAUGGUUGGUGUCACGCUCAGCACCCUGCUUGGCUUUGGGGUUUUUGAUAUGAGGGGAGAAACCACAGGUGGGGGUCAAGGCUCAGCCAGAGGGGACAGUGCUGUGAAAAGGGAAGAGGAAAGCAUCCCUGGGGCAGGGACACAUGGCAGUGUACCAGGGAAGGCGUGCAGUGGGAGGUGUGCGUCGCUGUGGUGCCCGGUGCACACCAACACGGCGUCGAAGGUGGCUGACUCCUGCUUGCCCUCACUCUCGGUCUCCACCUCCCA
rnacentral:lncRNA from 1 species